UCGGUCCCCGGAAGGGCGCCGGGCGGCAGCGCACGGAGGAGAGGAAGGGACUGGCCGGGCCGGGAGGGGAGGGGACGGGCCGGGACCGGGGACAUGAACGGCUCGGCGAACUCGGUGCUGGAUAAGGAGGAGCACUCGCUGCAGCUGGGCGAGAGCUUCGAGCGGCGGCCCAAGGCCUUCUUCCACACCAUCCGCUAUGAUUUUAAGCCAGCAUCGCUUGAUACAGCUUGUGAAGGGGACCUCCACGUGGGUAAAGGAGAAGACGUAACAAUCACUUUGCCACAUAUUCCAGGUUCAACUCCACCAAUGACUGUGUUUAAAGGAAAUAAAAGGCCAUAUCAGAAGGACUGUGUGCUUAUUGUCAAUCAUGAUACUGGGGAAUAUAUGCUGGAAAAACUUAAUAGCAGCAUUCAAGUCAAGAAAACAAGAGCAGAGGGAAGCAGUAAGAUCCAAGCUCGAAUAGAACAACAGUCUGCUCGAGCAUCUCAGCCUCCUUCACAGUUCAGAGCCCCAACCAAGCCAGCAGUUGGACCUAAAACUUCUCCUCUGAAAGAUAAUCCUUCGCCUGAGCCUCAGCUGGAUGACAUUAAGCGAGAGCUGAGAGCAGAGGUUGAGAUUAUCGAGCAGAUGAGCAGCAGCAGUGGAAGCAGCUCAUCGGAUUCAGAAAACUCAUCUGGGAGUGAAGAUGAAAGCUCCAGCAGUGAGGGGGAAGAGCCAGCACAUGUUUCCCCUUCCCAGCCACCGCACCAGCAGUACAACAACAGGAAUGCUGUUGCUAAUGGCACCAGCAGACCACAAGGAAGCAAUCAGCUCAUGAACACGCUCCGAAAUGACUUGCAGUUGAGUGAGUCUGGGAGCGACAGUGAUGACUAGAGGCUGAGCUUUUGCUGUUUCUGUUACAUAUACAUGAAGAACUAAUUUACCUUGAAGUAAUCCUAUUGCUUAGGAAGAGGAGCUGGCACAGAGAUAGUUCCAUGUGUGGAAUUUCAAUAGAAGAAAUGCAUAGGCCUACAAAAUAGCAGAUGUUGAGGGCUGUUUUACUUUGUGAAUUAAGUGUAUAUUUUGUGGAUAUUCUUAUUCUUCUAAAACUUUAGACAUGUACAGUGGGUGAGCCAAUAUAUCUUCCUAUGUUCCUGUCCAUCAUCUGUAAGUUUAAUGUGUAACUAUAUGAUACCAUCUGAAAAUGUCUUGUUUGUAGAAGAUACUCAGCCCAUCAUGACUAGGGGGGGACGCUUCUGUAUAUAGGGUGAGCAUGAGCCAACAAUGAGUUUAAAAAAAUAUGCAGGAGCUAGUGUGUGCACUGAAGUGGGACUGUCGUAAAUUAAGUUUUAAUACUAAGUUGAUUUCUUUGGUUUGGGACUUUUAAUUGCUAUUUAUGUUUGAUUUAAUGGACUUACUUUUAAACAGUUGGAAAAUAGAAAUUAUAAAAUCAUGUUCAUUGCAAACCUUGCUGCACCAGUGCCUUAUAAGCAGGUUUUUUAAAUAGUGCUUCCAUUCCUGCCAACUUUCCUAUAGGGAGCAAUACUGAGACCUCCUCAGAUUACUUUGGCGAACAAGAGCUGUAUUUCAUAUACAGCCAGCUGUUCUCUGAGGACAGUUAUUCUGGAAAGAUAAAGGAUAUACAUCAGUCACCUGAACACAUCCAAAUUAGAACCAGAUCAGCAUUUUCUCUUGCAACUGAAGUGUCUCAUUUAACUCAGACACUCGGACCCAGUCUUCAGAAAGAUUGAGGAGCCCCAUUACCGGUGAAAUUGUAAUGUCACAAAUACAAUAUUUUGGCCUUACUGAAACUGUAAGAUCAGAGCCCUCUUUGCAGUUUCCUAGAGAAUGCAGAAAGAAGAGAUGAUUAAGCAGUUAACUAUGAAACAGUCUCUCUCCCACCACAGUUGUCCAGGUAGACUUUAGUCCAUAUUGUUUGUUGGAUGGGAUCUCUGUGCUUGGCAGGAGUACACAGAACAUGAAAUAUUUGCCUAGGAUGAAAUUCACCUCUGUUUAAGGGGGUUUAAAGGGUGCUUAGGUGGAUUAUCAUUAACUUCUUGCUUGCCUGGAAAAUGAGUGCCACAGGCGGCCUCUUACAGCUUGAACAGCGGGCUGACAUUUUAAAACCAAAACUCAACUAGCAUAGGACAAGUGGCACCAGCGCUGUGGUGUAAUCCCAGGGAAUGGGAAGCCAAGUGGGAUGCCUCUCCCUUCUUAAGUGUCUGCUUUGCACUGCUUUUGUCUGUCUGUUAGUUUGUGUUUUGACUCCUGUUUGUUUACUGAGCUCUUUCCUUUAUUUUUUAAGGUGUUGAAGAGCAAGGGGACAUUUGAACGGAGAUUUUAUUAAAUGGUUUAUUUUUUUGCAUUAGAUACAUAUUCAGGCAUAUUUUUGCAUUAUUGUACAUACAUUUUAAAAUACUUGUUUUUUUUAAAUUGUUUUGUGAUGUGGGUACAUAUUUUAACAGAAAGUUAUGAAAUAUACUUGAUGUAAAGCCACAAUUGCUCUCUCUUUUUUUUUUUUUUUUUUCUUUUUUUUCCUCCCUUUUCUUCCUCUGACCGUAAAAGUGCUCUGUUUUAACAAGGUUGUACCAAUUUGUGAUUUUACACUUUGGCGCAGGAGAUCUUCAUGGUAGUUGGCGGUCUAAUUAAUGCUAAUACUGCUCCUGACUUUUCCCCAGCUGAAGAUCUGAAUAAGCAGGGAGAUACUUCUCGAUGCCAUUUCCCCAUUACUGGAGCUUACUCCUGAGUUCUGUUGACAAUAUUUGUGCUUAGAUGGAAAAGCAUCAGUGCAGCAUUUUCACUGCUUAUCAUUCACUUGCUGCACACGCACUCUAAAAAUCCAGGACGCGUCAUAGGAAGUUCACUAAUUAUGUGUAAAUAAAGUAUGUGAAACUUAAGAGGAUAAGACAAUACCAGGCUGCAUUGAUUUGAAUCACCAAUUUAAUUAUGCUUUAGAUCAGCAAGUGGGAAAGCUUCAUUCAGGGAAUGAAUUUCUGCCUUGUUUUGUAUUUGUACUCCAAGUCACGUUGCCCUGCUGUCCCUCCCUAAAAGAUUUCUUCCCCUCCCUGUUUGUUGGCAGCCAAAAUCAACAUAUUUUCACACAUCUCCACCACUUUUAAAGUACAUUUGUCCAUCCUUCGCAUCCCCUGGAGAUGCAUCGUAUCGAGGGUGACCAGCCUACUGUCUCUGAGCUGUUCAGCUGCACGUCCCGGACGGCAUCAUCUGGCUUCCCACGGGGCUGGUGAGUAACGUGGUGGGCGUCAGCAAGCCAGUCCCCACGCCUGUGUGACCCAGCCUGUCCCCUCCCUGCCACUGUGCCCUGAGGGGCUCCCGGCAUCUCCUGCCUGAGAAGCCCUCCGGGAUCCCCACCCUUCCCACAGCUCUCAAAGGUGCGUGGAAUGUGUUUUUCGAGGGUGAACCAUGUGGAGACUUCAGCAGGCAACUUGUAAGAUCAGUAGGAGCGGGCACCGCUUUUUUUCCUCGUUCUAAAUACACACCACAUGUAUGCUUUCUGCUGCCAAAGUCCUGCAGGAGUUUACAGGAGAGGAGGGUUAUGCAAAAGACUAAGGUUCUUCACCUCAGGAAUGGAGCCAGAUUUUUCUUCCACACUACUAGGGCUGGACUCAGCAUCAUAAACAAACUGGUGUAAAGAAGACAAUAAAGCCAUUAAACACUAGCCAGUCAAGAUACCAGGUUUGGUGGUUAGUUAAUCCAGCCAGUGAACUCACUUCUCAAAUGCCAUCAAGAGAUUUUAAGGCGCAGUAAAUAUGCUGUAGCUGUGUCUACGCCGGCAAGUUGUACAGCCUGGGAGCAGAUCCAUACUGCCGAAGGGUGCUGAGAUUGCAACGUGUGCACCAUCCACCUCUCCUCUGAGAGCAUCCACCUCAUGUGCCCUCUCCCUGAUGCAAACCACAGCAGGGAGAAACUUAUAUUUUCACAGGCUUUAAGGCACAAACAGCAUUCCUAUGUAAUACACACAAAUCUCCAUCUUAUAAGGUGCUAAGUGACGAUGCCAAAUCAAAAAGAAGGCUGUCGGCAGCAGAGCUAGGACCAGGCUGCAGAUUUUCUCACAUAAUCCUUAUAGCAGCCUCAUGCCUGCGACACCAGUGCAGGGCUUGCCCCUACGGGAAGGUAUCCCAACAGACUGAAGCUGGGAACCAGUCUGACUUUCAGAGAAGAGCUUCUAGUUACAGAUGAAUGAUUUUUUUUUUUUGCUUUUAGAAGCUUAGGCUAAAUUUGGGAAGAGGAGCUUCCCUUGCCAUGGGGUGUUGACCUGGCCGAUGUCACUGCUGUCACUGCCUGCACUCAGUUUUUCAUCACUCUUCCCCUAAAGCAAGUGACUGUAACAGAAACAGGUGAUGUUUCCAACGUCAGUGUGGAACUACCAACAGAGCAAUUGCAAGAGAAGUUAGGACGAGGUGUGGGCCUGUGUCUGUGCUUGGGAAAAGACCCUCGGGGUACCAUGUGCCCGGUACUGCUGUGUCUGUGUCAGUUCAUACCAGCACUUGUCCCACUACCUUUUUUUCCUCUGCACACAAUACAGUCGAUUUCCCUCUGCUUCUCCCAGCCAUUAGAAGGAAGAUAAAUCACUGUAGUUAAAAUCACAAGUCCUCGUAAAAACCUGUUUGUGCCCAGAAAGCUAAGUAUCAGAGCCUGCCUGAAGCUUAGGAAGAAGUGGCAUCUUUUUCAAUAAAUUUACAUCUCUAAAUAGAUGAUAAGUGUUGAAUCAAUUUCCAUAUGUUUAAAAUAGCAGAGCAUUAAGGAUUCUGGCACUUCAAGCAAUCAACUAAUUUGGGACUAUUAUGAGAAUAUCUUUUAUACUAGUGGAGCAAUCAUCUGAAAAUCAGGGACAGUCUGCAGCUCUGUGCCCUUUCAAUAUCAUAAAGGAUUGCAAAUCGACAAAAAAAGCCCUGUUUGUUUUCCUGAAGACAUUAUGGUGCCUUAUGACAUUCAGGUCUUUGCAAAAUCACCUUUCAGCUCUUAAUAAGCCAAGUCAUAAUAUACCCCCCACUUGGCUUGCCUGGCCACACGGUCUGCUCAUGGCUACACAGAUCCAACGAUAAACAAGUGUUGGCAGAUACUGCCGGGGGAAAAAGACAGGAACUGUGGUGUACCAACCUCUACGUCCAAAAAAGAUGCAAGGGCAGAACAGUGCUCUCCUCGCAGUUUCUCCCAUUCCUGUAGCCAGCCUGCGCUCGCUAAGCCUCACCUCUGGGCACGUCUGGCUGGCUGCUUGCUGACCCUCAGCUGGCGGGCCCUCAAAAAGGCUCACAACUCUUCGUUCCUACCAUCUCAACUAAUUUUGAGAUGAGUCACAUCGUCUUCAAAAGGGCACUGAACAUUAAGCGUGUACAGAGCCUGUGCUUCAGAAAGUUUCAAGGAAAAUCAACUUCUUUCAAAACCAGCUGGUGUUGGUUUCACCCUCAUGGAGCAGGAUGAAGGCUUCGUGCAGGGCUUUGAGGGUCACUAUAAAGGGAUGAAAAUAUCUACAGAGCUCCAGGUGAAGUGAUCCACGGCAAAUCCAGACUCUUGUAUCACCCUGUUUGCCGAGUCAUCAAAUAUUUCCAUCGUAUUUCAGUACACAGCUCACAGAUGUAAUGUGCCAUCGCUUUAAAAAAUGCAUAGCACUAUCGAGCCUGGAGAUGCUCCACUGUUACUGCACAGCACCCAGCACCGUGGUGUGAUACUGCUGGUCUGGGUGUCAAGAGCAAUAGAGGCUUCAAAACUGCCUGUUUGCACGACCAGGAAGAUGUCAGGGCAUCAGUAUAUUCUCCCUCACUUUUGGCACAUGAUCUUCCUAUUCCUACAAAGCAGGGACUUUGAGGAGGACAGAUCUGGGGGUUGUUUGAUGACUUUUUAAAAUUUAAGUUCAUAUUUUGGAGCAGGCAAUGCCACCAGGGAAGGCUGCUAAUUAGCAACUGGGUUUUGCAUAGCCCAGAUCUUCAUCGUUAUUUAUGUGCUUGAUUUCUUACUGCCAAAGCAACAGGAUGUUCAACCAUUGCCUUCAAAGGGAAGAUGUCAGGGUUUCUGAGAGAAGCAGGAUCUUAAUUCUGUAUAAAUUUUUUAACUAAUAUUUUUUGGUAGUUUAAAAUGAAAAACCGUGCAUUUCUAAGUCACCUUCCCUCUACAACAUCUUGGCUUGGAUCAUUCUUCACAGUUUUCUUGCUCUUUCCUCAACUCCAUUUACCAUGGCAAUGGGCUAUAAAAAAGCAACCCAAAGCAAAGAUGACAGCCACAGCUACAUUCCUCAUUAAAGGCAAGAAAAACACAAAUUGCUGUCUGGAUGCUCUGUAAAGCUGAGUAUCCUCAGGAGCAGGGAAGUCGGGUGGGGAACAAUUUGCAAGAUACCAGUGUGCUGGCUCCUGGCCUCCAGCCUCAGGCGAUGAUGUGGUUGGGGUUGUGUGCUGGGAAGGAUGCAUCACCCAAUGGAUGGGUUGGAAAUAAUAUAGCAGCCAGGAAUUUGUCACUUUUUAGUAACCUCAGUGUAGAUGCUCGGCAGUUAAAAGCUGAUCUACUGAGCAACAGUCACUCAGCUUGAGCCCCUGGAAGAACCCACUGCUGCUGUGCUGCAGUAGGACUUUUAAUGCUGUUAGAGGCUUGGUGAAAACGUGUGUGGAGCUGUGAUGGUGCAAGCACCACUGAAAGCCCUGCACAGAUCAGGCCUUUGCAGGGACAGCUGUUUCAGCACCUCUCAGGCAAGUGCAAUAGUCAAAGCUCCGGACAUGGGAAAUGCAACAUUGCAAAUGAGCUGGUACUGUAAGAAAUAUUUUCUUUUUCAAUGUCUGUGGUGUAAAAAAGGUCUAUGAGUUGGCCAUCAGGGAAUCAGCCCCCCUUGCCCAUUUCCACCCACCCCCCAGGACUUCUGGAUCCUUUUCUGGAGCAAGGGAACCAGUCUUUCCUUAGGAGACCAAACUGUGGAGACAGCGUAGAGAUGCAAGAGAACAAGCUGUUGCAGUACAGCAAUUAAGGGUGUAUCUCUAAGAAUUUACUGGCGCUCACCCUCCUGACCUUUCUGUAUCUAGAUCAGCAGGAAGGGUGCGUAACGAGGGCUGCGGGAGGGCAGUCGGGUUCUUACAGCUGGUCAGGCGAAUUAAUGUGAAUUGCUUGGCAGUUCACCAAAAGCAGACCGGUGAGGGUUCUUCAUGAGAAAAAAAAGAGAAAAAAAAAUCUUGAAGGUGGCCAGUCCAUGCACUAGAUUUGUUAGAUUUCUAACCUGCUGUAGAGGAGAACAGUGGUUCAGUGUUUCGGAGAGACUCCACAGCUGCAGGUAAUUUGCCUUUGACACAUUUCAGAAACCCUUCUGCUCCUCCACCUUCCGCAGCUUCUCGCUCCCCCUCUCCUGCAUCCCCUUUCCCCGUGUCAUUUAAUGUCGCUGAGUCCUGGGGAACAGGGGAACCGUAAACACCUAGUGAGGUGUUCUUCCCUUCCUCACUUGAGCACAGGGCUGUCGAGUUUCCAGCCUUCUAGACUGUGCUCAGCACCAGGCAUCUCAGAGGCAAAGGCUUUUGUAAAUGUAACUCCCGGGAACCGGACACCUGAUACUUUAAAAACCUUCCCUUCCACACCUCCUCCAAUCCAUGCAAAUGGGAGAAUGGGUUUAUCCACUCAAUCCUCAUGCUGUCAUUCACCUUUGGCCUGACAAUUUAUAUUCUGGCAAUGUGGAGAACCUGCAUAAAACCAGAAGUCACCUGUAAAACGCCGAUACUUGUAUUUCUCAUUCAACUAGCAUGGCUCUGGCAGUGCGUGUGCUCUCCCUUACUAAUAUUCUCCAUACGUUCUUCAAAGUGAAAUGCUGUUUCCAGCAGGCGAUAGUUACUGGCUAGUAGCAUCCCUCUGAAAUGAUCUAGCAACAUUUCCCUGACCUCAAGAUGGCCUGGAUUGGGGUGAUGGAAAGCACCAGGGCGGUUUGUGUCCCAGAGGGGGAUGGAAAUGGAAGUGCAUCCCCUCAGGGUAGGGGGAAAUACCUUCCCUCUGGUGUGGCUUCCCUUCUGCAAGCUGUCCUUGCCACGGCAGACAGCUUCUUGACCUCCCCUCUCCUCCUCUCCCAAGAAGACAGCUGCUCCCCUUACGUGGCCAUCCUUUGGGGCAUGGACACUCCUUGGUAUUUGGAGCAAAUCUGAAGCAAAACCAUGUGCGUGACUUACACAGUAUUUUAGAAAAGCUGAGGCACAGUACAGCACUGCUGGCCACCUGCCCACCUACUCAAACGAGCAGCGAGUGCUUCUGCUUUUGAGGGGUGUCAGGGGCACCGCGCCUGCUUCGUCUCUGCGUUGCCAUCCCUCGGCCCCUGGCAUCGGCGCGACAGCCAGGGCCACCGAGCCUGCCUUGCUCUGCAAGCAGCACUUCUGCAGGUGGCUUUCUAGCGUUGCCAGAAUGACCAUCCUUUACCGGGUUGUUUCUAUAAUCUGCUUUUGGGGUACAGGUGUAAAGGCAAAGAGACUUGUCACAUGUAAAUAAACAGAUAAACACGGC